GUUGUUGCAGUUAAAAAGCUCGUAGUUGAAUUUCUGGAAUGAACUUUCGGUCCGAGGCCUUGUGUCUUGCGUACUGUUUCUGUUCAUCCCAUCUUAGUAGUGAGUGUUACUGGCAUUCGGUUGUCGGUUGCAGGAGCUGCUUCGUUUACUGUGAAUAAAAUAGAGUGUUUAAAGCAGGCAUUACGCCUUGAAUACUUCAGCAUGGAAUAAAAUUAUAGGACUUAGGUGCUAUUUUAUUGGUUUGCACACCUAGUAAUGAUUAAUAGGGAUAGUUGGGGGUAUUCAUAUUUGAUUGUCAGAGGUGAAAUUCUUGGAUUUAUGAAAGAUGAACUUAUGCGAAAGCAUUUACCAAGGAUGUUUUCAUUAAUCAAGAACGAAAGUUAGGGGAUCGAAGAGGAUUAGAUACCCUCGUAGUCUUAACCAUAAACUAUGCCGACUCGGGAUCAGUGGGGUUUGUUUUACGUCUCCAUUGGCACCGUAUGAGAAAUCAAAGUCUUUGGGUUCCGGGGGGAGUAUGGUCGCAAGGCUGAAACUUAAAGGAAUUGACGGAAGGGCACCACCAGGAGUGGAGCCUGCGGCUUAAUUUGACUCAACACGGGGAAACUUACCAGGUCCGGACAUAGUAAGGAUUGACAG
rnacentral:rRNA from 1 species